UCCUGCAGAGCUUGUAUGUUGGAUGCUUUGGGUACUAAAAUGUCCUGUCAGGGUCGUGUCCUGCAUCCAGAGCAGCACAGAGUGGUCAGUGUGAGGGAGUGUGCACGCUCUCAGGGCCCCUGAUACACCUACCGCUUCUUCGGAAACGUUCUGGACAAACACAGACAGGUUGGCAACGCUUUUCCUCCACCACUCUCCAGAGCCAUUGGACUAGAGAUCAAGAAGUGUGUCCUAGAGCGGAUCAAGGAGCAUGACGAUACAAAUGAGAAAGAGAAUGGGAAGCAGGAGAAGAUGGUGUCGGACUAGUGCCCAGCCCUAUUCCAAUCCCCUUUCCACUGGUCAUCAAAUUCCCUGAGCCCACCAAGCCACAGGAGAGCCUCAUUUUUUAAAUGAGCUGGCCAGUCUGCAGUACCAUUCCAUGUUAUGAUUUUUCAAGGUGAUUUAACUGUAUUUGCAAAUAUCUGCUUGGAACGUGAAUCGUAUGUAGUUUUUAUAUGUUGUAAUAUUUCAAAUAAAGCUCUUAUUAAUGG
rnacentral:lncRNA from 1 species